rnacentral:rRNA from 1 species
GAUGAACGCUCUUGUAAGGCCUAACACAUGCAAGUCGAGCGGUAUUUGGUAGCUUGCUACUAGAGAGAGCGGCGUACGGGUGCGUAACAUGUGUGCAACCUACCCUUAUCAAGGGGAUAGCCAUUCCAAAGGAUGAUUAAUACCCUAUAAUAUAUCAGGUGGCAUCAUUUGAUAUUGAAAGCUACGGUGGAUAAGGAUGGGCACGCACAAGAUUAGCUAGUUGGUAAGGUAACGGCUUACCAAGGCAAUGAUCUUUAGGGGUCCUGAGAGGGAGAUCCCCCACACUGGGACUGAGACACGGCCCAAACUCCUACGGGAGGCAGCAGUGAGGAAUAUUGGACAAUGGGUGGGAGCCUGAUCCAGCCAUUCCGCGUGCAGGAAGAAGGUCUUAUGGAUUGUAAACUGCUUUUAUAUAGGGAUAAACCUACUCUCACGAGGGUAGCUGAAAGUACUGUAUGAAUAAGCCCCGGCUAACUCCGUGCCAGCAGCGGCGGUAUUACCGAGGGUGCGAGCGUUAUGCGGACUUAUUGGGCCUAAAGGGUCCUAGGCGGAUUAUUAAGUCAGUGGUGAAAUCUCAUAGCUCAACUAUGAAACUGCCAUUGAUACUGAUAGUCUUGAGUAUAUUUGAAGUAGCUGGAAUAAGUAGUGUAGCGGUGAAAUGCAUAGAUAUUACUUAGAACACCAAUAGCGAAGGCAGGUUACUAAGAUAUUACUGACGCUGAGGGACGAGAGCGUAGGGAGCGAACAGGAUUAGAUACCCUGGUAGUCUACGCUGUAAACGAUGCUAACUCGUUUUUGGUAUUUAGGUAUCAGAGACUAAGCGAAAGUGAUAAGUUAGCCACCUGGGGAGUACGCUCGCAAGAGUGAAACUCAAAGGAAUUGACGGGGGCCCGCACAAGCGGUGGAUUAUGUGGUUUAAUUCGAUGAUACGCGAGGAACCUUACCAAGACUUAAAUGGGAAUUGACAGCUAUAGAGAUAUGGUUUUCUUCGGACAAUUUUCAAGGUGCUGCAUGGUUGUCGUCAGCUCGUGCCGUGAGGUGUUAGGUUAAGUCCUGCAACGAGCGCAACCCUUGUCACUAGUUGCCAUCAUUAAGUUGGGGACUCUAGUGAGACUGCCUACGCAAGUAGAGAGGAAGGUGGGGAUGACGUCAAAUCAUCACGGCCCUUACGUCUUGGGCCACACACGUAAUACAAUGGGCGAUACAGAGGGCAGCUACACAGCGAUGUGAUGCGAAUCUCGAAAGUCGUUCUCAGUUCGGAUUGGAGUCUGCAACUCGACUCUAUGAAGUUGGAAUCGCUAGUAAUCGCGUAUCAGCCAUGACGCGGUGAAUACGUUCCCGGGCCU